rnacentral:lncRNA from 1 species
GCGACAUACCGACCCGGUCACGAUCGGUCGAAGGAUAUUCGGCUUGCCACCAUCUAUCAUACGACUCGACAUGCUACAUCAACGGGUAUUCGACUUGCGACAUACCGACCCGGUCACGACCGGUCGAAGGAUAUUCGGCUUGCCACCAUCUAUUAUACGACUUGACAUGCUACGUCAACGGAUAUUCGACUUGCGACAUACCGACCCGGUCACGAUCGGUCGAAGGAUAUUCGGCUUGCCACC